rnacentral:tRNA from 1 species
CCGACCUUAGCUCAGUUGGUAGAGCGGAGGACUGUAGUGUGUCUGCUGAGAUCCUUAGGUCGCUGGUUCGAAUCCGGCAGGUCGGA